UACGUAGGUGGCAAGCGUUGUCCGGAUUUACUGGGCGUAAAGAGCGCGCAGGCGGUCGUUCAAGUCGCGUGUGAAAGCCCCCGGCUCAACUGGGGAGGGUCACGCGAUACUGAUCGACUCGAAGGCAGGAGAGGGUAGUGGAAUUCCCGGUGUAGUGGUGAAAUGCGCAGAUAUCAGGAGGAACACCAAUGGCGAAGGCAGCUCACUGGGACGGUAUUGACGCUGAGACGCGAAAGCGUGGGGAGCAAACAGG
rnacentral:rRNA from 1 species